CAUCGUUUAAAGCAUUGGAUACAUCUCUUUCAAAAUUAAGGAUGAAUUCUACUUUAUUAGCUAUUUCAAGCAUUGGCCAAGCAGGAGAGUUGUUGUUCUCUUGCACGUGGAAACUACCUUUGUUUUCUUAGCUUUGGUGUCUACCAAUUAUGCUACCU